UAUUUGGCUACAAUGUCUAAAUGCAUGCAGGACAUGAAUUUUAUUUUAAGAGAAAUAUAGUAUGCUAUUCGUUUCGUUCAUUUUUUUAGAUAAAUAAUUAGACAUCGAACUUGAAAUUUUAGAUACUAACCAUCAAAUUUUUCACCAUUUGCGCUAGAGAUGGUCGAUUUCCGCACGGAGUUUUUUUUUUUUUGAGAGAAAGGUAUCAUGCUACCCGCUUUGUUUAGUUCAUUUAGAAAUAAACUUAUAACUGAAAAUGUGAAUCAACUAGAAUUCGAACUUGGGUCUCGAGUACCAACCACCAAUUAAGCCCUUUUGCCACUUGCGCUAGCUAGGGACGGUCGGUUUUCCGCACGGAGUCGUGAUGCAACAUAUGUCAAUAUAGCCUACAUUUUUUAUGGCAAAGGGUUUGGUGGUUGGUACCUGAGAUCCCAAAUUCGAAUCCUAGUUGAUUCACAUUUCUAACUAAAUUUUUUUCUAAAUGAAAUAAAUAAAGCGGAUAGCGUACUAUCUAUCUCUCUCAAAAAAAAAAAAAAAAAAAA
rnacentral:lncRNA from 1 species